rnacentral:rRNA from 1 species
AUUGAACGCUGGCGGCUUGCCUUACAAAUGAAAUUCGAAGGGAAAAAGGUUAGGUGACGGGGUGGGGAAGGGGGAGGAAAUGAAUGGAAAGUGGCCCGUCCGGGGGGGUAAAUUGCCGAAAGAGCCGGCAAAACCGGAUACGACCCGAGGGGGAAAGCGGGGGAUUGGAAAAACCUGGGCGAAUUGAGCCGCCGAUAUCAGAUUAGGGAGUUGGUGAGGUAAAGGCUCACCAAGCCGACGAUCUGUAGCUGGUCUGAGAGGACGACCAGCCACACUGGGACUGAGACACGGCCCAGACUCCUACGGGAGGCAGCAGUGGGGAAUUUUGGACAAUGGGCGCAAGCCUGAUCCAGCCAUGCCGCGUGCGGGAAGAAGGCCUUCGGGUUGUAAACCGCUUUUGCCAGGGAAGAAAAGGUUCUGGCUAAUACCUGGGACUCAUGACGGUACCUGAAGAAUAAGCACCGGCUAACUACGUG